AUUGUGCACCAGAAAGUUAAUACGGCUGAGCAGGAUCGGCCUGCCUUGAACCGAGCCUCUGCAUUGCAGUGACGAGAUGUGUGAGGUUUUUACAUGCCAGGCAUAGAAUCAGUUCCUUACUUAGGCCUAUCUGAGCAUUGCUGAACCCUAGACAAUGACAAAUUUGUUAUUAUUUUUUUAAUGGAUUUAUCAUUUUAAAAGUGAAUUCCCGGUGCCUUAUGUCACAUGAUUUCACAGUAACCAUGGCUGGAGCUGGGAUAAGGGAGAUUUUAGUGCUCUCCUGAUUUUACGAAGAAGACCUGGGCUCAGAGCAGCCAACUGACUUGUCGUGAGGAAAGGACUCUGGCUUCUCAGCUUUGGAAACAAAUCCCACCACGCUGUCAGGCCCUUCCCUUCGUGGUUGGGAGUGCUCUCCAGUUCCCCCUUGGGACUCAUAUUCACAAUGCAUCAGGAAGUUAGCGUCCAGCAGAAACGCGAAUGGAACCAUGCAUGUUUCGGGUCAUCAGCUUGCUGCCUCCAUAGAGUCAGAGUUGCCGGAAAACCAUGACGUGCUUCAUUUUCUUUUAAGAAAUGGUAACCACAGUCGUCAGUCAAUUGGACUCAUUCAAGGUCUAUUGGAAACUCCUUAAUAACCAGAAGCACAUCAUCUGGUCCUGUAUCCAGG
rnacentral:lncRNA from 1 species